rnacentral:tRNA from 1 species
GCGGCCCUGGCGCGGUUGCGAUCCGCGGCCGGCUCGGGGCCGACCGGGGGGUGGGUGCGAGACCGCCGGGAGGCC